GCAACGGUGUCCGAGUGGUUAAGGAGUUGGACUUGAAAUCCAAUGGGCUAUGCCCGCGUAGGUUCGAAUCCUGCUCGUUGCG
rnacentral:tRNA from 1 species